rnacentral:lncRNA from 1 species
CUAGGACAUAAUGAAGUAUUUUUUUUCCUGUGAAGAUGGCCUUUUUGACUUCUAAAGCUAGUUUUGUUCUAAUCCAGACACAUUUAGAUUUGUGAAGCUUCCAAGUCAAUACUGACCACCUGUCUAUUUCUGUUGUUUAUUUCUUCCACCCUUUAAUAAAAUCUUUAGGAUUUUAGGGCCAGUGGUGGGGUUUUUUUUUAUUAGAGGUCUAAGUUUUAUCGAGAUCAAUAAUACAGCAAAUUCAAUUUGUUGACCCCUCACUCAAGAAAAAUGCCUUGGUGUGCCAAGCUUACUGGCCAUGAAACUGGUCCUUUUGUGGGUCACUUUUGUUUUUCAACAGAUUCAUUCAUUUGUCCAUUCAUCUGUCUUCUGAGCCUAACCUUGGACAUAGCAUUAAGUUUGGGAGGGUGGACUGUAUAGUAGACUUGCCAAUUUGAAUGUAGUUACUAUGAGUCACUAAGUAUGGGAUUUGGGGUUAUUACUUUUGAGUCUCAGUCUUUAAGUGCUGAUACAGACAAAGCCUAUUUUGUUGUAUUAUAAAGAUUAGAUAACAGUCAUAAAGUGAUUAGCACAGUGUGUGUAUAUUAUCACUGCACAACUGCUAUUAUUAUUCAAAGACAGGUCACAUGUAAUCUUUGUCUUAAAGUUUACUGGGAUGGGACAGGCAUUUAAGUCAGCAAAGUGACUUGAGGCUGGAGGAAUGAGAGACAUUAAUUUGUGCUGGGAGCCAUUAGCCAAGUAGGUAUGACAAUUUCCUUGCCAGCGUACCCCAUGUUGCAGUGACAUUUAAUGUACGUGACCUUGCUCAAGGACCAAGGCAGAUUAGGGUGUUCCUGGUUUUACGAUAAUCGUGUUUAGGGCGUUCCCAGUUUAGGUUCCAGGUUUAAGGUUUAAGAUUAUUCCUGCUGGGAAUAGGGCGUAUCCUGCUGCCCGAGUUCCCCUUGAGUUCUC